AUAAUGCGUGGUUUGCAUCUCAUUUGUAACAAAAUUGUUCACCCUGUUCUAAGCUCCCAAGACACUAACCAUAUGGGAAAAAAAUAAUGUUUCGACGCUAUCUCUAUUUUUAAUUAAUUGGACUUUCGCAGACGUUGUACCUACAUGCACGGUACCUCGUUGGAAAGGAAAUUCAUUUUACUAAUUAACAAAUGCGGUUCGGCGAACGAAAAGCCGUCAGUUUUUGAGAAAAAAGCAUAAUGCGUGGUUUGCAUCUCAUUUGUAACAAAAUUGUUCACCCUGUUCUAAGCUCCCAAGACACUAACCAUAUGGGAAAAAAAUAAUGUUUCGACGCUAUCUCUAUUUUUAAUUAAUUGGACUUUCGCAGACGUUGUACCUACAUGCACGGUACCUCGUUGGAAAGGAAAUUCAUUUUACUAAUUAACAAAUGCGGUUCGGCGAACGAAAAGCCGUCAGUUUUUGAGAAAAAAGCAUAAUGCGUGGUUUGCAUCUCAUUUGUAACAAAAUUGUUCACCCUGUUCUAAGCUCCCAAGACACUAACCAUAUGGGAAAAAAAUAAUGUUUCGACGCUAUCUCUAUUUUCAAUUAAUUUGACUUUCACAGACGUUGUACCAACAUGCACGGUACCUCGUUGGAAAGGAAAUUCAUUUUACUAAUUAACAAAUGUGGUUCGGCAAACGAAAAGCCGUCAGUUUUUGAGAAAAACGCAUAGUGCGUUGUGGGCAUCUCAUUUUUACCAAAAUUUUAGCUAGGAACACAUUAACCUUAUAUCGAUACCCUAUAUCGAUACUUCGAUAAAAACGAAUGCACGAGGCCUGGAGAAGAAAUAAUUAAUAUAUUUUACUAAAACUCUUAAAAUGGGAAUUUCUAAAAAACUACUGACCCGAUUUUAAUAAAUAAUACAUCAAAUUGAUCAGGUGUGCGAGUAUAAUCGAAGACGUUGCCAGAGCGCAAGGGCAGCUCCUUCAAAUGCACGAGGGCUGGAGAAGAAAUAAUUAAUAUAUUUUACUAAAACUCUUAAAAUGGGAAUUUCUAAUAAACUACUGACCCGAUUUUAAUAAAUAAUACAUCAAAUUGAUCAGGCGUUGCCAGAGCGCAAGGGCAGCUCCUUCAAAUGCACGAGGGCUGGAGAAGAAAUAAUUAAUAUAUUUUACUGAAACUUUUAAAAUGUGAAUUUCUAGUAAACUAGAACUAUAUCAAAUUGAUCAGGCAUGUCUUUAAUUCAUUAAAAAUAUUCUUUAACACAAGUCCGUUUUUAUUGGACUUUUUUUUAUUUUAUUAAAGUAUUUUAUAAAAAAACAAUUGUAAUGAAAAUCGGUGGGAAACAGCAUUGUGUAGCUGACCCCGUUUAAGGAACUCAGAAUUUGUACAAAAUACACGAAUUUGUCAUACCCUACAAAAAAUAAAAUUAAAAAAACUCGAUAUUUUCCUUAGUGUAUUUUAUAAAAAAACAAUUGUAAUGAAAAUCGGUGGGAAACAGCAUUGUGUAGCUGACCCCGUUUAAGGAACUCAGAAUUUGUACAAAAUACACGAAUUUGUCAUACCCUACAAAAAAUAAAAUUAAAAAAACUCGAUAUUUUCCUUAGUGUAUUUUAUAAAAAAACAAUUGUAAUGAAAAUCGGUGGGAAACAGCAUUGUGUAGCUGACCCCGUUUAAGGAACUCAGAA